rfam:Oryza glumipatula chromosome 5, whole genome shotgun sequence.
UUCAAGUGCAACCAUAUAUUUUCGUGUCCAAAUUUAAUCAUCUGUUUUAUUUAAAAAAAUUUAUAAUUUGUAUUUUUAUUGUUAUGAGAUGAUAAAACAUGAAUAGUAUUUUAUACAUGACUUAUGUUUUUAAUUUUUUUUAAAAAAUCAAAUAAGAUAAACGGUUAAAGUUGUGCACGGAAAAUUAUGGCUGCACUUAGA